CGAGAUUAGGAAAAGAAGAGAGAAGGUAUGAGCGAGAUGCUUGUAUUUUUUAGGCUGGGGAAAAUGAAUGGACGAGAGGAGAUCAGAAGAGGAUAAGGCAUCGCAGGGGAUAAAGACGCGUCUGAACGAGCAAGCGAUGCGACCGGCCGAAAGUUCGACCGGUGCGCCGCACACAAGCGUUUACCUAACGCUAAUAUGCACGAUCCACUUCGCCAACUGCCCGCCCACCCGCACCACAGUUUCCCCGCCUCCGCUCGCUGCCCCGCCUCCGCCGCUCGCCCCGCCCGCCGCCUUCCCUUCACGCCGCCCCCGCUCAGCCUCGCCUCCGCCCGCUCGCCUCCCUCCCCGCCCCCUCGCGGCCUCGCCGGAUCUCCCCGCCGCCUCGCCCGAUCUCCCCGCUUCCCCAUACAUCGCCCUCACCGCACCGGCGCGCUCCUCACUUCCCCGAGCAGGCGACCCAGGCUGCCUCUGCCAUUGGAACCACCACCUCAUCCUUAUGCAAGCCGUCGUCGGAGCCAUGACUGUGGGCCGACUUUUGCCGCCGUUGCCGCCGAUGGGAUCAUCCUACUUGUCCCUCCACGCGCCACCAAUACAAGCUGCGGAACCGCUGCCGGCACAGCCCUCAGCCGCAUGAAGGAAUUGUCGCCACCUCUUACAGUUGAUGGCAAGUUGACGACAUGUUGAUUUUCCGUCGUACUGAACUUGAUGGACAAGUUCUUAUGUCAACCACAACGAGCGAGAGCAAUUUAUAGGGCACCAGAUUUGCACAGCAAGAUCUAACAUCGACAGGGUGGAUGCAUGCACCUUCACCGCCUGCAGAGGAAAUGGAAAGAGAGGUGGAGCUGGUGCAGGCUUUCCAGGCCGUGGAGGCGGCCGCGCAGAGGUUCUUCGUCACGUACCACCAGGUCGUGGCGGCGGUGUGUGCCACGAUGGAGGCUUCGGGCAAACGGGCGCUGUUCGUGCCAGCGAGCUCCACAUUCUGGUUCGACAUGUAUGUUAUUUUUCUCAAUGAGAACGGUGUUAAAUUAGAUAACUCAGAAUCCCGGUUUUGGCCAUGUAUGUGCAUUUUAAACGUUUGUUUAUAUAUGAACCAAAAACUGAGGUGAGUUGUGAUUUCCGAAUCUGGUGAGGGAAUUAGAAAAACUUAAGACGAAGUAGGAGAGGGUCUUGAAGUAUACUGCCAUCAACCUGAUCGAUAUGUUCCUUCUUGCAUUUGCUCCAUUACAUGAACUGAAAAUCCAGCAAUGUUGUAAAAGAGAUAAAUAGUGAACUUAUGGGUUUUUCAUUUGUAGAUGCUUUUGGCUGCUAUAAGUUUCAUAAAAUAUUUUGUCCAUCAAACUCUAUGUUUCUUAUACAUGAAAAAAGAUAUGCAACUGUAGGAAGAAAGAGUACAGUGAUCGCUGGAGAGUGGAGACAGUGGAAGAGGGUGGGAACCACAUGAUCAUUGCAGCGCUUUGCUACUUACCAUUGUCAUGUCGAGGGUGCUCCCGGGUGAUUGGCAAUGCAUGCCAGUUACCAUUUGUUGGUUAGGUAUUUUUACAAAUUGUAAUAGAAAUGCUGGUGAGCGAGAUCAAAAAUGGAUCGAUGAGUGUCAGCAUCCUUGGUUCUGAAGCAAUUCGUGAAGCGUCUCCGGCCAGAACAAUCUGGUGCUUACAGAGUAUUGUUUACCUAGACGCCAUGUUGCUAGAUAAGUAUAAACACUGGGACUAUCAAGAAGCUGGUGAGUUUCUACCAUCCUUCAUUGUUAACAUGAUUAGACAUUCAAUAUAUUUAUUCAUAUUCAUAUAUUUUUUAAAUCUAUGCGAAGCUCAUGUUUAGAUACUUGAUGCUGACAUUUGCACCAAAAAUCUAAAAUGAACACAAUUAUUAAUGGAUGAUACUUUGAUCAAUAAUUUCUCUGGCUUCGGUCAUGCACUGAUUUUGCUAUAUUCUGUUCUUCUAAAAACAAUUCAUCACAAAAUUUCAGCUGAGCCCCACUGCAUCUUAUCCCGAAUCUCCAUCGAUUAUUUUUUCAAAGAUUUAUUGCAUUUAUGACUGCCUUGCCGGCCAUCAUCCCACUCCCCAUGGCAUGGAUGGAGUCUUAGGGCAAAGUUUAGGUGAUUAUUUGGCAAUGCAAAAUUAAUACACUCGUCUAACUUGGCUACCAUUUGUGCAUUACUUUCUUUGACAACAUAUUUGGACUUUGCAUGAAUACAGAAGUGAUGGUCGGAGUAAUAGUUCUGGAGAAAUAGAGUUGCAUUUUAGGAUAAUGGGUAAAAUUGGAGCUAUGAUUAGUUGUGGGUUUAAGAAUUGAGAUCUAGAAAAUGCAUUGUUCAUUUACUUCAUUUAAACUGGCAUGUCACUUGUCACAUCCAUGGAAAUAAUUUGCUGAAGAGACAACAAAGUUUAGUUUCAGGUCGUGUCUUCUUUUGUUUCACGGUUGUUUAAACUUUGUGGUGUCGCUGUUCCUGUCGGCCUUCAUUAGGUUGAUGUACUAUUCUCUUCUUAAUAAUAUAUUUAUACACGCAGCAUGUUCAUGGAAAAAAUGAAAUGAGUUUUUGCUACAUUUGAGCAUUGCAUUUUAAAGUAAAGUUUCAGCCAUUAUUUUCUAGCAGAAAUUCAGUGAUCUAUAUGCAAACAAAUCUCUCUAUUUUUAGUAAUCUUGUGGGACGUCAGAGAGCAGAUGACAUGAUCACAUCCCCAGUAAAUGUGUCAAUCAUACUAAACCAUUGACAGUUUCUAAUUUUGGAUAUUGAAAGAAUGAUAUUUUCUCGAGUAAAAUGCGAAUACUGAUUAAUCCAUUUUCUAUUUCUGAGCUAUCUUGAUAAUUCUUAGCUAUUUUGAUGUUUUGCUUGAUAGCAAUUAUUACUGUCUAAGAAGACUUAAGUGUGGGACACUGUGGUUUCAAAUCAGAGAAUUGUGUUUCGAGGUUACUAACAUACUAUUUCAUAUGAACUUUUUUUUCUUCAUUUACAUAUAGGCCAAGAUGUUCUCAAUAUGCCGCAUCUGGAACGUCUAGGAAAAGAUUAACCAUCUGAAGACUCGGUUAUCUGGUUUUAUUUUAAAUGAAGUUGUGUGUGUGGGGAGAGCAAUAAAUUCGUGUAUGAACUACCUGUGUUGGUAAGAAUUUAGGUGUUCCUAAAAUUGAUAAGAUGAUUAACCUGAUCUUGUUAGUCAGCUGGUUGUAACUAACAUAGUACACUCUUUUGUUUCCAUCGAAAGAUAAAAUAUGCCAGGAAUGAUGUGUUAUCGAUAA